rnacentral:rRNA from 1 species
AGGGUUUGAUCAUGGCUCAGAACGUACGCUGGCGGCACGCCUAACACAUGCAAGUCGAACGAAGUAGCAAUACUUAGUGGCAGACGGGUGAGUAACAUGUGGGUAUCUGCCCUUUGGCCUGGAAUAACACGAGGAAACUUGUGCUAAUACCGGAUAAGUCUUUACGGAGAAAGCUUUAUGCACCAUUGGAUGAGCCCGCACUUGAUUAGUUUGUUGGUGGGGUAAUGGCCUACCAAGACUGUGAUCAAUAGCUGAUUUGAGAGGAUGAUCAGCCACAUUGGGACUGAGACACGGCCCAAACUCCUACGGGAGGCAGCAGUGGGGAAUCUUGCACAAUGGAGGAAACUCUGAUGCAGCGAUGCCGCGUGAGUGAAGAAGGCCCUUGGGUUGUAAAGCUCUUUCGUCGGGGAAGAAAAUGACUGUACCCGAAUAAGAAGGUCCGGCUAACUUCGUGCCAGCAGCCGCGGUAAUACGAAGGGACCUAGCGUAGUUCGGAAUUACUGGGCUUAAAGAGUUCGUAGGUGGUUGAAAAAGUUAGUGGUGAAAUCCCAGAGCUUAACUCUGGAACUGCCAUUAAAACUUUUCAGCUAGAGUAUGAUAGAGGAAAGCAGAAUUUCUAGUGUAGAGGUGAAAUUCGUAGAUAUUAGAAAGAAUACCAAUUGCGAAGGCAGCUUUCUGGAUCAUUACUGACACUGAGGAACGAAAGCAUGGGUAGCGAAGAGGAUUAGAUACCCUCGUAGUCCAUGCCGUAAACGAUGUGUGUUAGACGUUGGAAAUUUAUUUUCAGUGUCGCAGCGAAAGCGAUAAACACACCGCCUGGGGAGUACGACCGCAAGGUUAAAACUCAAAUGAAUUGACGGGGACCCGCACAAGUAGUGGAGCAUGUGGUUUAAUUCGAAGAUACGCGCAGAACCUUACCAACACUUGACAUGUUCGUCGCGACUCUAAGAGAUUAGAGUUUUCGGUUCGGCCGGACGAAACACAGGUGCUGCAUGGCUGUCGUCAGCUCGUGUCGUGAGAUGUUGGGUUAAGUCCCGCAACGAGCGCAACCCUCACUUUUAGUUGCCAUCAUUAAGUUGGGCACUCUGAAAGAACUGCCAGUGAUAAGCUGGAGGAAGGUGGGGAUGACGUCAAGUCCUCAUGGCCCUUACGUGUUGGGCUACACACGUGCUACAAUGGCCGAUACAAAGGGUCGCUUGCCCGCGAGGGUUGGCCAAUCCCAUAAAGUCGGUCUCAGUUCGGAUUGAAGUCUGCAACUCGACUUCAUGAAGCUGGAGUUGCUAGUAAUCCCGGAUCAGCACGCCGGGGUGAAUACGUUCCCGGGCCUUGUACACACCGCCCGUCACACCACGAAAGUCGG